AUGAACCCUUUCCUUGUCUGGGAAGUGAAAGCACCUUGUGAGACUUAAGGAAAAAACUCCUUUUCCAGUACUUUCCCUAGUGGUCACCACCAGCAAAGACAGGAGCCCUCCUGUCUCAAAGUACAAAUCUACCAUUCACCAUUAAAGCUCAGAAGAAAAGCCGUGUCCACUCCCAUGUUCUUGUGAGGAGAACAGAGAAGCGGCAGUGGCUCAGCUCACUGGGAAGAGGGUUGCGUUUGGCUACAGGAAGAGAGGUUGCAGCUGCCCAGGCUUCCAUCUUCCUUCCCCGUGAGUGUGAGCCGGAAGAUCCCUGGAGAUGCAGGAUGAGACUUGAACUUGUGCGUUUGAAGCAGGCGUGCAGCUCAGCGAAGACCCCAGGCUCCAUCCCUGCAGAAAGGCCACAGAGAGGUGCAAGCCGGUGCAGCUCUCAGUAGAUAACAAUUUUUUUAAUUUUAUGAUUUUAAAAAUUAAGAUUGCCAUAUGCUUAGUAAUUUUGAGGUUUUUUUUUUUUUUAGUAUUGUUAAAUUUACCUGCAUGGGGCUGAAGAGAAGGCUCAGAGGUUAAGAGCACUGUCUGCUCUUCCAGGGGUCCUGAGUUCAAUUCCCAGCAAUCACAUGGUGGUUCACAACCAUCUGUAAUGGGAUCUGAUGCCCUCUUCUGGCCUGCAGGUACACAUGUAGGCAGAACCUGUAUGCAUAAUAAAUCUUAAAU
rnacentral:lncRNA from 1 species